rnacentral:rRNA from 1 species
UACGGGGGGGGCAAGCGUUGUUCGGAAUUACUGGGCGUAAAGGGCUCGUAGGCGGCCAAUUAAGUCCGACGUGAAAUCCCCAGGCUUAACCUGGGAACUGCGUCGGAUACUGGAUGGCUUGAAUCCGGGAGAGGGAUGCGGAAUUCCAGGUGUAGCGGUGAAAUGCGUAGAUAUCUGGAGGAACACCGGUGGCGAAGGCGGCAUCCUGGACCGGCAUUGACGCUGAGGCGCGAAAGCUAGGGGAGCAAACGGG